AAAACAUGUUCGAAUCCCUCAAAGAAUUUCCAAGAACUAAUUACGAUGAAAAACAAGAUGUUUGGCAAACGCACCUAUAGAUCACGUGACUUGAUUGGUUCCACCAUUUUAUGAAGCUUCCAAAGAUUAGCAGCAUGUUUACAUGAGUCGGGAAUUUGAUCACGAAUUCUGUGUAACUUUGACAGAGAUUCUCCGUAUAACAUUCGCUUGCUAAUAUGAGCGAUAGACUUUUGUGCCCCUAUGUAAUAGUUCCCUAUCAUGUUCUGUUCAGUGUUUUGUUCCUCCAUUUUGAUAUUAUUACUUUUUUAUUUAUAUGCAUUACAUGUGUGACAUAUAAUCAAAACUUGGAGAUUACUGCAUUAUUUACGGAUUUGAAUAUAUCUUUAUUUUUGUAUUGUCGUGUUCACCGGGAUCUACCUGUCUGUCUGUCUGUCGGGGGAGGGCAUACUUCUAAUGAUUAUGAAUGUGGAAUAUAUGGAUUGUGUCAGGAAUGUGUGUCAGACAGUAUGUACAUAAGAUGAUUCGUUGACAGACAGUGCUGUGUGAUGACUGUAUGAUAUGUGACGUUCUCCACAAUGUCUCAGUUCCCUUGACAGCUAGUCGCACACUCGGAGGACGACUCUCGUCUGGUGAGCACGUUUGUGUAACUAUUGUGACUGUCUCCGUUUUUUUCGUCUCACUAGGAUCACGUGUCUUAUGUAAAGUGUCUCAAUAUGUGGUUAUGUUUAAACAGAUAAAGGACGCUUAUAAACGGCAAAGAGAUUAGAAUUAUGGAUUCUCCGAAAUGACUUUUAUUUACGUUUUGCACUGGGCAUUCAUUACAGAGACAUAGGUGGGGCCAGCUCGGUCCACGCUUUGUGGUCUGUGUAGCAUUAUUGUACUGUCUACCUAUGCAAAUAUUAUCUCAUUGUCUAUUGAAGCAAUACAUGAGUCAGGGUAUAAAAAUGACGUCAUUUAUCCAUUGUCAUAAAUUUACAACGAUAAAAUGUGCUAUGUCAUGGUACGCUAAUCCCUAAGAUCGAAUAUGACUGUAAUGUAUUUUUGUGAGAAUGGAAAAUGUAUAUAUGAAUUUGAAUAUAAUGCUGCUUUUAUUUAUAUGAUUUGUAUACCUUUGCGUGCAUGUGAACUCAAUGAGAUUUCAUCUUUAUAUUUAUACACCGAGGUUUAAAUAUUGAUUAUAAAGAAUAUAAUUACAUA
rnacentral:sRNA from 1 species